rnacentral:rRNA from 1 species
GAUGAACGCUGGCGGCGUGCCUAAUACAUGCAAGUCGAGCGAACAGACGAGGAGCUUGCUCCUCUGACGUUAGCGGCGGACGGGUGAGUAACACGUGGAUAACCUACCUAUAAGACUGGGAUAACUUCGGGAAACCGGAGCUAAUACCGGAUAACAUGUUGAACCGCAUGGUUCAACAGUGAAAGACGGUUUUGCUGUCACUUAUAGAUGGAUCCGCGUCGCAUUAGCUAGUUGGUAAGGUAACGGCUUACCAAGGCAACAAUGCGUAGCCGACCUGAGAGGGUGAUCGGCCACACUGGAACUGAGACACGGUCCAGACUCCUACGGGAGGCAGCAGUAGGGAAUCUUCCGCAAUGGGCGAAAGCCUGACGGAGCAACGCCGCGUGAGUGAAGAAGGUCUUCGGAUCGUAAAACUCUGUUAUUAGGGAAGAACAAAUGUGUAAGUAACUAUGCACGUCUUGACGGUACCUAAUCAGAAAGCCACGGCUAACUACGUG